UUGACAACACAAACAGGAGCGUUGCAGUUUUGGCCCACCCUACCUUCAGGCACCACUACCUACCUGUUCAAAGGCACCUACCACCAUACCCUGUUCAAAGGCACCUACUACCCUGUUCAAGGCACUACUACCAUACCCUGUUCAAAGGCACCUACUACCAACCCUGUUCAAGGUACCUCUACUACCCUGUUCAAAGGCACCUAUACCCUUUCAAAAGGCACCUACUACCAUACCUGUUCAAAAGGCACCUACUACCAACCUGUUAAGGCACUACACCUACCCUGUUCAAAGGCACCUACUACCCUGUUCAAAGGGCACCUACUACCCUGUUCAAAGGCACCUACUACCAUACCCUGUUGAACGGCCCUACUACCAUACCUGUUCAAAGGCCCCUACUACCAUUACCCUGUUCAAAGGUAUCAUCCGUCAGCACCACUACCAUAACCCUGUUCAAGGCAACUACUACCCUGUUCAAAGGCACUACUACCCUGUUCAAAGGCACCUACUACCAUACCCUGUUCAAAGGCACCUACUACCCAUACCUGUUCAAAGGCACUAUACCUACCUGUUCAAAGGCACCUACAUACCCUGUUCAAAGGCACCUACUACCUACCCUGUUCAAAGGCACUACUACCAUACCCUGUUCAAAGGCACCUACUACCAUACCCUGUCAAAGGCACUACUACCCUGUUCAAGCACCUACCUACCCUGUUCAAAGGCACCUACUCCCUGUUCAAAGGACCCUACUACCAUACCUGUUCAAAGGCACCUACUACCUACCCUGUUCAAAGGCACCUAUUACCAUACCCUGUUCAAGGACCUAUACCUACCCUGUUCAAAGGCCCUUCCAACCCUGUCAAGGACCUACUACCAUACCCUGUUCAAAGGCACCACCAUACCUCACCUACUACCACACCCUGUUCAAAGGCACCUACUACCAUACCCUGUUCAAAGGCACCUAAUACCAUACCCUGUUCAAAGGCACCUACUACCACACCCUGUUCAAAGGCACCUACUACCAUACCCUGUUCAAAGGCACCUCCUACUACCAUACCCUGUUCAAAGGCACCUACUACCAUACCCUGUUCAAAGGCACCUACUACCCUGUUCAAAGGCUCCUACUACCAUACCCUGUUCAAAGGCACUUCAAUGUUUUGUGUUGCCCAUUCAGCCUCUGAAUGCCAGACAUACACAAUCCAUGUCUCAAGGCUUAAAAAUAUUUCUUUAACCUGUUUCUUCCCCUUCAUCUACACCGAUUUUAAAGUGGAUUUAACAAUCAGGGAUCUUAGCUUUCCUCUGGUCAGUCUAUGUCAUGGAAAGAGCCGGUGUUUGUAAUUCUUGUACACUCAGUGUAUAGAUGUUCAGUACACGGGGGUGUAACGGUGUGGGGAAUGUUUUCCUGGCACACGUUCGGUCCCUUGAUACCGAUUGAGCAACUUUUCCAUGCCCUUAAGAAUUCAAGCUGUUCUGGAGGCAAACGGGGGGUCCAACACGUUACUAGAUGGGUGUACCUAAUAAACUGGUCACUGUGUGUGUGUGUGUGUGUGUGUGUGUGUGUGUGUGUGUUUGUGGGGACACUACCCCGUUCACGAAAAUGGCCAGUCAAGUUCUUCCACAUCGAUCUCGACAAACCAUUUCUGUAUGGACCUCUAUUAGUGGCGGCAUUGUCAAGCUGAAACAGGAAAUGGUCUUCCCCAAACUGUUGCCGCGAAGUUGGAUGUGCUUCUACAGUAUUGACUCCCGGAUGUGAAUACUUAUGUAAAUUAGAUAUUUAUGUAUUUAAUUUACAAUAAAUGAGCAAAAAUUCCUUAAACAUGUUUUCACUUUGUCAUUAUGGGGUAUUGUGUGUAGACGGGUGAAGAUUUUUUAAUUUAAAAAAAGUCAAUUUUGAAUUCAGACUGUAACACCAAGAAAACAUGGAAUAAGUAUAUAUGCAUAUUGAAUAUACAAAACAUUAAGAACACCUGCUCUUUUCAUGACACAGACUGACCAGGUGAAUCCAGGUGAAAGCUAUGAUCCCUUAUCGAUGUCGCUUGUUAAAUCCACUUCAAUCAUUGAUCCUAAGACCAGCUACUGCUACACUGAGACGCUUUUAUCAAUACGGACCCAUGACAUGACUAGAACCUGUUGAAGUAGCUCAAGAUACAAACACUUUUACUAUGUGUGGUCUGUACUGUAAUGUUUAACAAGGGAGUAUCUGCAUGGCCAGGUCGGCUACCCUCCAGUUCAUGUAAACAGAGCUGCCGCAGGAUCCUGACCUGACAGGAUCACUUAGUAAACACUUUAAAGAGAAGACAUGACACACACAAACACACAAAGGAAAGAUUGAAGGAGAUUAGUGAGAGGUGGUUGUGUAACUGAGCUGUGUUACCAGUUUCUGUCUUUUUUUUUCUAAACAGCUAAAAUAAACACUACAAUAUAAUUACUAGAAAGUUAAUCUAACAAUUUAUAUAAACAACAAUAUAAUUACUAGGAAGAUCAUCUAGCAGCUUAUAUAAACACUACAAUAUAAUUACUAGACCUCUCCCCACUCUACUACUCUACCCCCACCUCCCCCCCUCUACCCCCACCCCCUACCCCCAC
rnacentral:lncRNA from 1 species